rnacentral:rRNA from 1 species
GAUGAACGCUAGCGGCAGGCCUAAUACAUGCAAGUCAAGGGGAUAGCAAUAUCACCGGCGGACGGGUGCGUAACGCGUACACAACGUGCCCAAGGGCGGAGGAAAGCGGCGGGAAACUGCCGGUAAUACUCCAUGGUGUUGUUGAGUGGCAUCACUUAACAACUAAAGUACAAGCGCCCUUGGAUCGGUGUGCGUUCGAUUAGCUAGUUGGCGGGGUAACGGCCCACCAAGGCUUCGAUCGAUAGGGGGUGUGAGAGCAUGACCCCCCCANACGGGUACUGAGACACGGACCCGACUCCUACGGGAGGCAGCAGUAAGGAAUAUUGGACAAUGGGCGGAAGCCUGAUCCAGCCAUGCCGCGUGAAGGACGAAGGCGCUCAGCGUUGUAAACUUCUUUUGGAUGGGAACAAUAACUCCGACUUGUCGGAACUUGAGGGUACCAUCAGAAUAAGCACCGGCUAACUCCGUGCCAACAGCCGCGGUAAUGUAGUCGUGU